ACUCCUACGGGAGGCAGCAGUGAGGAAUCUUGCGCAAUGGGGCAGCCAUCGACGCAGCGACGCCGCGUGCGGGAAGAAGGCCUUCGGGUCGUAAACCGCUUUUCUGGGGAGCGAGAAAGGAACGGUGACCCCCAGGAAUAAGUCCCCGGCUAACUACGUGCCAGCAGCCGCGGUAAAACGUAGGGGCGAAGCGUUAUCCGGAAUUACUGGGCGUAAAGGGCGUCUAGGCGGCCAUGCAAGUUCGGCGUGAAAGGUCCCGGCUCAACUGGGAACGCGCGUCGGAAACUGCAUGGCUAGAGUCUUGGAGGGUGUGUGGAAUUCCCGGUGGAGUGGUGGAAUGCGUUGAGAUCGGGAGGAACACCAGAAGCGAAGGCGGCACACUGGCCAAGCACUGACGCUGAAGCGCGACAGCGUGGGGAGCGAACGGGAUUAGAUACCCCGGUAGGCACUG
rnacentral:rRNA from 1 species